CUAGGGUUUUCUGCUUGUGAUAAGAACAUCCUUAUAAUUUAGAACAAUUUAUGCUAUUGCAAACCAUUAAUUUUAUCAAAUGAAUAUAAAAGGUAUACAUGACAAAACUGAAGUCUUAACUAAUUACAGAAAACAAAACCCGAAUACAUAAUAAAAAGACCAAAAAAUACAGAAAAUAGACACACCCGACUUAGUCCAGGC
rnacentral:lncRNA from 1 species